rnacentral:rRNA from 1 species
AUUGAACGCUGGCGGCAGGCCUAACACAUGCAAGUCGAACGAGUGGCGGACGGGUGAGUAAUGUCUGGGAAACUGCGUGAUGGAGGGGGAUAACUAACGGAAACGGUAGCUAAUACCGCAUACCAUCAGAUGGGCCCGGAUUGGAUUAGCUGGUUGGUGGGGUAAAGGCUGACCAAGGCGACGAUCCCUAGCUGGUCUGAGAGGAUGACCAGUCACAUUGGAACUGAGACACGGUCCAGACUCCUACGGGAGGCAGCAGUGGGGAAUAUUGCACAAUGGGCGCAAGCCUGAUGCAGCCAUGCCGCGUGUAUGAAGAAGGCCUUCGGGUUGUAAAGUACUUUCAGCUGGGAGGCGUUACCCUCAGAAUAAGCACCGGCUAACUCCGUGCCAGCAGCCGCGGUAAUUC